GACGAACUGUGCAAACGUUAUUCGGAAUCACUGGGGCUUGAAGAGUGCGUAGGCGGUUUCGUAAGUAGGGUGUGAAAGCCCUCGGCUCAACCGGGGGAAUUGCGUCCUAAACUGCGAGGCUGGAGUGAGGUAGGGGUGUGUGGAACUUCCAGUGGAGCGGUGAAAUGUGUUGAUAUUGGAAGGAACGCCGGUGGCGAAAGCGACACACUGGACCUUGUCUGACGCUGAGGCACGAAAAGCCAGGGGGAGCAAACGGGG
rnacentral:rRNA from 1 species